rnacentral:rRNA from 1 species
UUGAACGCUGGCGGCAGGCCUAACCCAUGCACGUCGAGCGGAUGAAGGGAGCUUGCUCCUGGAUUCAGCGGCGGACGGGUGAGUAAUGCCUAGGAAUCUGCCUGGUAGUGGGGGAUAACGUCCGGAAACGGGCGCUAAUACCGCAUACGUCCUGAGGGAGAAAGUGGGGGAUCUUCGGACCUCACGCUAUCAGAUGAGCCUAGGUCGGAUUAGCUAGUUGGUGGGGUAAAGGCCUACCAAGGCGACGAUCCGUAACUGGUCUGAGAGGAUGAUCAGUCACACUGGAACUGAGACACGGUCCAGACUCCUACGGGAGGCAGCAGUGGGGAUAUUGGACAAUGGGCGAAAGCCUGAUCCAGCCAUGCCGCGUGUGUGAAGAAGGUCUUCGGAUUGUAAAGCACUUUAAGUUGGGAGGAAGGGCAGUAAGUUAAUACCUUGCUGUUUUGACGUUACCAACAGAAUAAGCACCGGCUAACUUCGUG